rnacentral:lncRNA from 1 species
UAAUGGCUGCUGAAACUGAGACGGGCACUUUGAGUGACAAGAUUGAUGAUGUUCCAAGCCAGGAAGAAGUUGUCACAGUCCCGAACAUUGAAGAAACCGUAGAGAAAGAAAAGAAAGAAGAGCAUGGAUCUAUGGACAAAGCAGGUGAAGGUAAUGAUAGCAAUCCUGACCUAACUGUUACCAACCAGGACAGCGCAAGGGAAGCAUCUAAGGUCCAAGAAGAUUCUGAACAAGAGUUGCAGAGAAUUGAACCAGGAGAACCUGAAGAGUCAUCAACUAUAAUGGUUGCUGAAACUGAGGCAGGCACUUUGAGUGACAAGAUUGAUGAUGUUACAAGCCAGGAAGAAGUUGCCACCAUCCAAAACAUUGAAGAAACCGUAGAGAAAGAAAAGAAAGAAGAGCAUGGACCUUUGGACAGAGCAGAUGAUGGAAACGAUAGCAAUCCUGACCUAACUGUGACUAACCAGGACAGCGCAAGGGAAGCAUCGAAGGUCCAAGAAGAUUCUGAACAAGAAUUGCCGAGAAUUGAACCAGGAGAACUUGAAGAGUCACCAACUGUAAGGGCUGCCGAAACUGAGACGGGCACUUUGAGUGACAAGAUUGAUGACGUUACAAGCCAGGAAGAAGUUGUCACAGUCCCGAACAUUGAAGAAACCAUUGAGAAAGAAAAGAAAGAAGAGCAUGGAUCAUUGGACAAAGCAGGUGAAGGUAAUGAUAGCAAUCCUGACCUAACUGUUACCAACCAGGACAGCGCAAGGGAAGCAUCGAAGGUCCAAGAAGAUUCUGAACAAGAAUUGCAGAGAAUUGAACCAGGAGAACCUGAAGAGUCAUCAACUGUUAUGGCUGCUGAAACCGAGGUAGGCACUUUGAGUGACAAGAUUGAUGAUGUUACGAGCCAGGAAGAAGUUGCCACCAUCGAAAACAUUGAAGAAACCGUAGAGAAAGAAAAGAAAGAAGAGCAUAGACCUUUGGACAGAGUAGAUGAUGGAAACGAUAGCAAUCCUGACCUAACCGUGACUGACCUGGACAGCGCAAGGGAAGCAUCGAAGGUCCAAGAAGAUUCUGAACAAGAACUGCAGAGAAUUGAACCAGGAGAACCUGAAGAGUCAUCAACUGUUAUGGCUGCUGAAACUGAGGCGGGCACUUUGAGUGACAAGAUUGAUGAUGUUACAAGCCAGG